rnacentral:tRNA from 1 species
GGAGGGAUGGCUGAGCGGUUUAAAGCGCUGGUCUUGAAAACCAGAAGACCGAAAGGUCUCGUGGGUUCGAAUCCCACUCCCUCCU